UCCUCGACGAUCUAGGAAUAACGAAACUUCCAAUAAGUCGACUUGAUAUUCCGACAAUGUUUCAGACUGAAACACCUUUGGUCGAGAUCGAGCUCACACUUGACUCGAGUCGUGCAUUCGCGAACGCCUCCAACUUUCGCCGAGGUCCCGGAAGCUAAGGGCGAGAAUGAGAAUUUGUUUCGCUGUGUGCUCCAGCUACAUGUGCAAAAAUCGGCGAUUUAUGGCAACGACGGUUUAUCCAGUUGCAAUGCACAACGUCGAGUAUCAACGUAAUAUACCCCGGCAAUAAAAAUUCAACGCUAUCUAAUCAGCUCAGCGGUGUAAGGUACACAAUUACUCGGGAGAUGAGAGCUCACGGCGCGCGAAUACCGUGGCUUAUUUCGAGUUUACUCAGAGACGCGUUUCCGAUGGAAAUACUCGGAAAAUCGAGGUCGUCGCGAUCGCCACGCAGAAGAAAGGACGACGACGGAUUUUCUUCGGAAAAUAGACUGAAUCGCCUGAAUAAAAUCCUCGAUCAUCCAG